rnacentral:misc_RNA from 1 species
UAGAAUUAUAUUUGUUGAAGUUAAAGAGGUUAUGAAGAAUAUGAAGAUAGGGAGAACUUGUGGCCCAUAUGGUAUCAUAUAGAAGUGUGGAAGUGCCUUAGGGAGGAUAGAGUAGCUUGAAAAACCUUGUUAUUCAAUGCUAUACUAAAAUUUGGAAAGAUGACAAAUGAGUGGAGGAAGUGCACUUUGGUUCCUAUCUAUAAGAACAAAGAAGACAUCCAAAAUUGUACAAACUAUCGUGGCAUUAAACUGAUGAAUCACACUAUGAAACUAUGGAAAAAGAGUGAUUGAACAUAGACUUGGGGACACUGCUAAGGUAUCAAAGAACUAAUUUGGCUUUAUGAUUGAUAGAUUUACUAUAGAGCUUUUUUA